rnacentral:rRNA from 1 species
GCUUAUGGCCAUACCACCCUGAGCACGCCCGAUCUUGUCUGAUCUGGGAAGCUAAGCAGGGUUGGGCCUAGUUAGUACUUGAAUGGGAGACCGCCUGGGAAUACCAGGUGCUGUAAGCU